rnacentral:rRNA from 1 species
UGGGGAAUAUUGCACAAUGGGGGAAACCCUGAUGCAGCGACGCCGUGUGAACGAAGAAGGUAUUCGUAUCGUAAAGUUCUGUCCUAUGGGAAGAUAAUGACAGUACCAUAGAAGAAAGCUCCGGCUAAAUACGUGCCAGCAGCCGCGGUAAUACGUAUGGAGCGAGCGUUGUCCGGAAUUAUUGGGCGUAAAGGGUACGCAGGCGGUUUAAUAAGUCGAAUGUUAAAGAUCGGGGCUCAACCCCGCAAAGCAUUGGAAACUGAUAAACUUGAGUAGUGGAGAGGAAAGUGGAAUUCCUAGUGUAGUGGAGAAAUACGUAGAUAUUAGGAGGAAUACCAGUAGCGAAGGCGACUUUCUGGACACAAACUGACGCUGAGGUACGAAAGCGUGGGGAGCAAACAGG